rnacentral:rRNA from 1 species
AGCCAGACUCCUACGGGAGGCAGCAGUGGGGAAUAUUGCACAAUGGGGGAAACCCUGAUGCAGCGACGCCGCGUGAGCGAGGAAGUAUUUCGGUAUGUAAAGCUCUGUCAGCAGGGAAGAAGAAUGACGGUACCUGAAGAAGAAGCACCGGCUAAAUACGUGCCAGCAGCCGCGGUAAUACGUAUGGUGCAAGCGUUAUCCGGAUUUACUGGGUGUAAAGGGAGCGCAGGCGGUUCUGCAAGUCUGAUGUGAAAGCCCGGGGCUCAACCGCGGGACUGCAUUGGAAACUGCGGGACUGGAGUGUCGGAGGGGUAAGCGGAAUUCCUGGUGUAGCGGUGAAAUGCGUAGAUAUCAGGAGGAACACCGGUGGCGAAGGCGGCUUACUGGACGAUGACUGACGCUGAGGCUCGAAAGCGUGGGGAGCAAACAGGAUUAGAUACCCUCGU